GAUCCCACUCCCGGUGUGGAGUGGAGACUGCCGGGCCCAGGAGACCUGCACCCAAGAGACUAGACCACCAGGCCAAUCUUUUAACAGAGAUGUAUUAAACCUACAUGUGGAACCAGGUGUUGCUGCUUCCCUGACAAUAUUUACAGAAACUGGUGCAUGAUCACUGAUAACAAUUGGAUAAAUGCUGGAGCUUUUAAUAUCUUUUAGAGGAGAUUUACUGAUUAAUAAAUAAUCUAAACGAGAGUGUGAGUAGUGAACUGGAAAGAAGAAGGUGAACCCUUUAGUGUUUGGAUGACAUGAGCGCCAAACUUUACCCUUUCAUUACAUUUUAUUUUAGUUACUAAUAACAAUAAAGACUAAACCCGACAAGCGACUGACAUUAGAGCAGUCAAGAAAAUGAUUUAACCUCUUAAGACCCUGCUUUCACAUGUGUUGACACCCCAUUUUGGGUUACAUUAUCACAAUAGGUUAUUCUGCUUAACCGGAGCCCUGUGACUAUGUGUAGAAGGUUAGCUCAAAUUUUAGGCCGGGUCUUAAGAGGUUAAUGAUAGAAGAGGCGGGAAGACAUGUGAGUGCAGGAAGUACUGAAGAGACAGCUUUUUUCCCACCUCUCCCCGCAUCUUGAUUUGCAGAAAAAAACACAAAGGUGGUUAUUUUGACUCACAGCAAGUAGACGUUACCAUUUCCUCCUUGUGGGUUUUGACUCCAAGACUUUUCUUCCCGAGAUACUUCAGUCCUCUCAUUCGCUUCAAGUGAUCAACUGAAAUAACAGAAAACAGUUUCUUCACUGCAUUUCCUGUUUUUUACUCCACUGGACUCCUCCAUCGUAAUUUCAGACUUCUCAGUCACUACUCCAGAGCAAAGGAUGGCCAAUGAUCUGUUUUCCAUCAUUUCAAGAGAAAUGAAGGAUAAGCCUGUAGUAUCAACUGUUCUUGUGGGAUUGUUUCUUGUUGUAUUUGAGAAGAUGCUGGACUUAGAAUUUGUGUGUCCUUGCUUUGAAAAAAAAUAUUGUAACGGAAUAUUUGUUUUUCUUUAUUUUUUUGUCCCAUCACUUGGAAUCUUUGUUUUAAUGUGUCAUGUGUAUGAAAAAAGUUGCUGUUCCUGUCACGGUUGCUCUUGGUACAUUUGCUCACACACUGUAGGUCCUCCUCUCACAUGGAUCAUCAUAUUGUUGCUUGAUGGACGAUAUCUAGCUUGUGCAUUCACCAACUGGUCAGGAAUGUAUGAAGUUACUGGUGGUGGAGUGAUGAGAUGGUGCCAAUCAGAAAACUACUCAUCUGAGAGGCUAAGCUUUACUCACACAUUAUACACAAUCUCUCAGUUCUGUGGACUCGGACUCUGCAUCCUCUUUGGAGGGAUUGUUUCCUGCCGUUGGAGAAAACAUUGCAUCUCAGGGAAUAAAGAAGGGAUGGCUCUCCAGAGGAGACAACCUACGUCAACGGAUCAAAUCCUUAUUCUGGAAGAAACUGAUACAUAGGAGACCAAUUUGGGAAUUAGUGUUGUAUCUACUCAAUAGCUUGUUAUCAUGUGGUCAAAAGGAGUGACAGAGUAGGUAUUUAGCCUCUUAAAGUUUCCCUCUGAUGAAAAUCAGGUUUUCUGAGUUUUUAACAUGUAUUUGUGACAUUUUUCUUAUAAAAGAGAAAAAAUUCAACAAGAA